GACGAACGCUGGCGGCGUGCCUAAUACAUGCAAGUCGAACGCACAGUUUAUACCGUAGCUUGCUACACCAUAGACUGUGAGUUGCGAACGGGUGAGUAACGCGUAGGUAACCUGCCUGGUAGCGGGGGAUAACUAUUGGAAACGAUAGCUAAUACCGCAUAAUAUUGAUUAUUGCAUGAUAAUUGAUUGAAAUAUGCUAUUGCAUCACUACCAGAUGGACCUGCGUUGUAUUAGCUAGUAGGUGAGGUAACGGCUCACCUAGGCGACGAUACAUAGCCGACCUGAGAGGGUGAUCGGCCACACUGGGACUGAGACACGGCCCAGACUCCUACGGGAGGCAGCAGUAGGGAAUCUUCGGCAAUGGACGAAAGUCUGACCGAGCAACGCCGCGUGAGUGAAGAAGGUUGUCGGAUCGUAAAGCUCUGUUGUAAGAGAAGAACGGGUGUGAGAGUGGAAAGUUCACACUGUGACGGUAGCUUACCAGAAAGGGACGGCUAACUACGUG
rnacentral:rRNA from 1 species